rnacentral:misc_RNA from 1 species
CUGAGGUAUGCAUGGUGUCGCGUUAGCGCGCCGGUUACCCGCCCAUAUGUCAUUCGUGCUGGAACUCUCAUGUGUCUUCGGGUGUGUGAGAGGGAUAGGAACGUCACUUCGGUCGAAGCGUUGUGGCCUGCUCUGCGUGCAGGGUGGACAUGACCGCGACCGGUUAUAAUUUACAUUCUUGUGAGAAGCAUGAAGUCUGAAGCAGAAAUGAAAAUUUUAUGCA